AUUGAACGCUGGCGGCAUGCCUAACACAUGCAAGUCGAGCGGAGCUGCGGACGGGCUAGUAAUUCCUAGGAAUCUGCCUGGUAGUUGAGGAUAACGUCCCGUACCGGGAGCUAUUCCCGCAUACUAUCUGAUGAGCCUAGUUCGUAUUAGCUAGUUGGUGGGGUAAAGGCCUACCAAGGCGACGAUCCGUAACUGGUCUGACAGGAUUAUCAGUCACACUGGAACUGAGAAACGGCCCAGACUCCUACGGGAGGCAGCAGUGGGGAAUAUUGGACAAUGGGCGAAAGCCUGAUCCAGCCAUGCCGCGUGUGUGAAGAAGGUCUUCGGAUGGUAAAGCACUUUAGGUUGGGAAGCGUUACCAUCAGAAUAAGCACCGGCUAACUUCGUGCCAGCAGCCGCGGUAAUUC
rnacentral:rRNA from 1 species